UACGGGGGUGCGAGCGUUGUCCGGAAUCACUGGGCGUAAAGGGCGCGUAGGUGGUUGAUAAGGGUGUGGUGAAAGUCCGGGGCUCCAACCCCGGAUCUGCCGUGCCGACUGUCAAACUCGAGGACUGUAGAGGCAGACGGAAUUCCGGGUGUAGCGGUGGAAUGCGUAGGGAUCCGGAGGAAGACCGGUGGCGAAGGCGGUCUGCUGGGCAGU
rnacentral:rRNA from 1 species